rnacentral:lncRNA from 1 species
AUGCUGACACUCCUGGCCAUAAGAUGGAACCAGCAGAAAUGUCCAAACCUGGCUACUGGACUUUCCCAGAGAUACCAUAAGACAUCUAAAGCUUUCAAUAUCCCGAUUGGGGACCUGGAAACCCUGAAAGCCCAGCAUCAACUGGGUGAACAAACUGUGGAAGAAUUUGUGCAAGAAGUAAAAGAAUGGGCCGAUGGAGAAAUUGACCAUCAAGGCACACCACAAGCUUUGUGUAAGAAGAUUGAGGCCUUCACAACCAGCAUCAACACGAGAGCUCAACUCCUAUACUGGAAAAAUGACCGCAACAAAGGCCGACAUAGAAUUCGCAGAAAAAUAAGGCAACAGAAGACCACUUUGAAGGCCAUGGUAGCGGAGUACAACAGUCUCGUUGCAUGGAUAGCGUUCUGGACACAGAAUAGCUCUGCUGAUUUCAGCACAAAGAAAGAAGUCUUCGAUAGGGUCAUGGGUGUUCGAAGGCUUCAAGAGGAGAAGAAGAUCCUUGUGAAAGAAAUGAAGCAGCACUGGGAGUCUCUCAAAGCCCAUGCCAGGGUCUUGUCCGAGUUGUCUCAGCAUCAGAGUGAAGACGCCAUGCAAAGUAAAUGCGGCCUUGUACUUAAUUUUUUUAAAUUUGAAUGUUUCACAAAGUUAUGUUUAAAUUGUGAAAGACAUGUUAUUUACCUGGAUAGUGACAUAUUUUAUCCCUUCUUAAGGACAUCUCACAGAGAAAGCAACAAAGGGUCACACCUGCCUCAUCCUCAGAAGGCAGUGGGAAAUGAGAGAGCUGAAGCGGCAUACAAGAAAACACUACCUGCAUGUGCUGUCAUCAGCAGAUGACAUAAUGGACACAAUGGACAGUUCAGAUGAGUUCGACAUUAGCUGUGAAGAUUCAGAGUCUGAUGCAAUGUAAAACAGGAAGAUGUGGUGCUCAUGAUCACAGUGCACCGUGUGCGACACAUGGUCACACAGAGCAUGUGGCUUUAAAAAAGCCACAUGCUCUUAAAAACUAACGUAUGUGCUCAUUGUCAGGAUUAAGUUGGAGAUGACAGUUGUAGUUGUAUUAGGUUGUUGUUAUUUCUGCAUUUGGUUUUGAAAUGUUUAAUCACUUAUAUAAGGUUUGAUUUUUCUACUGGGUUGUGGGAAGUUCCUGGUUAAUGUUGUCUUACAUCUUUACAACACAAACCACUGUCCUUUACUGUCUUAUCUUUGAUUCACGUUCAGUUCUGCAUCUUUUCAGGGAUUUUCUUUCCAGUUGAUCUUUACUGUUUGAUUAAUAAUUGUUCUUUAAUGUUUAAUUAAACAAAGGCACAAUAAAGCUACAUUUCUGAUUGAGUCCUUGGAUGUUACUACUGUUUUAGGUUAGACUUAUUUUAUCUGAGCAAUUCCCACAUGCUUUCAGAGUACAUGAAUUCACUAUAUGGCAAGAGGAGAGAUUCAGAGG